UAACACGUAUCCAACCCGCCGUCUACUCUUGGACAGCCUUCUGAAAGGAAGAUUAAUACAAGAUGGCAUCAUGAGUCCGCAUGUUCACAUGAUUAAAGGUAUUCCGGUAGACGAUGGGGAUGCGUUCCAUUAGAUAGUAGGCGGGGUAACGGCCCACCUAGUCUUCGAUGGAUAGGGGUUCUGAGAGGAAGGUCCCCCACAUUGGAACUGAGACACGAUCCAAACUCCUACGGGAGGCAGCAGUGAGGAAUAUUGGUCAAUGGGCGAGAGCCUGAACCAGCCAAGUAGCGUGAAGGAUGACUGCCCUAUGGGUUGUAAACUUCUUUUAUAAAGGAAUAAAGUCGGGUAUGGAUACCCGUUUGCAUGUACUUUAUGAAUAAGGAUCGGCUAACUCCGUGCCAGCAGCCGCGGUAAUACGGAGGAUCCGAGCGUUAUCCGGAUUUAUUGGGUUUAAAGGGAGCGUAGAUGGAUGUUUAAGUCAGUUGUGAAAGUUUGCGGCUCAACCGUAAAAUUGCAGUUGAUACUGGAUAUCUUGAGUGCAGUUGAGGCAGGCGGAAUUCGUGGUGUAGCGGUGAAAUGCUUAGAUAUCACGAAGAACUCCGAUUGCGAAGGCAGCCUGCUAAGCUGCAACUGACAUUGAGGCUCGAAAGUGUGGGUAUCAAACAGGAUUAGAUACCCUGGUAGUCCACACGGUAAACGAUGAAUACUCGCUGU
rnacentral:rRNA from 1 species